UACGGAGGGUGCAAGCGUUGUUCGGAUUUACUGGGCGUAAAGGGCGCGUAGGCGGCCAAUUAAGUCAUCUGUGAAAUCUCCGAGCUUAACUCGGAACGGUCAGGUGAUACUGAUCUGCUAGAGUGCGGAAGGGGCAAUCGGAAUUCUUGGUGUAGCGGUGAAAUGCGUAGAUAUCUGGAGGAACACCGGUGGCGAAGGCGGCAUCCUGGACCGGUAUUGACGCUGAGGCGCGAAAGCUAGGGGAGCAAACGGG
rnacentral:rRNA from 1 species